rnacentral:sRNA from 1 species
CAGGGGAUUGCAGUGGCAAAGCUAGGCUAGGUCUUGGAGGCUGGUGUAAGGCGAUGCGGGUGAAGGCAGGAGGCUGAUGGAGAGACUGGGGGGAAGAAAAGCCGAAAUGGAUUCACGGUGCCUUGGAUGAAGGACGAGAGGGGAACUGCAAGCUCCUUCAACUGGUUCUGUCCGGUGAGAAGUGAUCAAGCUUGGGCUGACAAGAGGCUCAGGGAGCCCUCACGUUCUUUCGCUUUUUUACCUGCCAAUCAAACUGCUACAAGACAACACCCUGAUCUGGCAUGGACAUACUGAGUCUCACUCUGUCGCCCAGGUUGUAGUGCAGUGGCGCGAUCUUGGCUCACUGCAACCGCCACUUCCCAGGUUUAAGUGGUUCUCCUGCCUCAGCCUCCUGAGUACCUGCAAUUACAGACGCCCGCCACCACGCCAGUCUCAAUACCUUCACAGAGGUGAAGAAGCAGCAACCAAAUGAAUUAGACAGCAACAUGAUUCCUAGAGAAUGGCAAGACCAAUUCUUCAACUACUUCUUCAGCAUUUCUGAAACAUAUGGAAGAUGGCCCAUUGUGCUCUCUUAAUUCUUUGAUAAUCUGGACAUUGACUUUUCCAUUAUAUGACCUGGGCUUGUGGGCAUCAUGUCAUAAUGCACCUGUUCAGACAUCUCCCUGUACCAAUAUGGAUCACUUGAAGAGACUCCUUUGCCUCCAUCAAAAAGGAUACAGUUGUGUAUCUCUUCCAUUUUUGUUUACAGUGCCUAAAAUUAUUUGAGCAGUUUUUCACCUCUUCUCUGAUAAACACCUUAUUAGUCCUUAAAAAGAAAAGAAAAAAGGAAAAUAAAACUUUUAUUGAGAUCCUA